UACGUAGGGUGCGAGCGUUAAUCGGAAUUACUGGGCGUAAAGGGCGCGUAGGCGGCCUUCUAAGUCGAACGUGAAAUCCCCGGGCUCAACCCGGGAACUGCGUCCGAUACUGGAAGGCUUGAAUCCGGGAGAGGGAUGCGGAAUUCCAGGUGUAGCGGUGAAAUGCGUAGAUAUCUGGAGGAACACCGGUGGCGAAGGCGGCAUCCUGGACCGGCAUUGACGCUGAGGCGCGAAAGCCAGGGGAGCAAACGGG
rnacentral:rRNA from 1 species